GACUCGGUAGUUUAGUUGGUAACGCACUCGUCUAGCAUACAAGAAUCCUGGGUCUAAUCCCAGCUGAGCG
rnacentral:tRNA from 1 species